rnacentral:lncRNA from 1 species
GGAAAGACAGCCUUGAAUCGCCAGCACCACCCCUCUCCCAUCCCCUGGCAGUGGCUAUCAAGUGUCAAGACCAUUCAGGAAAAUAUGACCUCACCAAACAAACUAAAUAAGACACCAAUGACCAAUCCUAGAGAGACAGAGAUAUGUGACCUUUCAGAGAGAUAAUUAAAAAUAGCUGUUUUGAGGAAGUUCAAAGAAGGAAGUAAAGAAGGCUUUGUCUGGCCACUUGGAUACCAGUUCAACCACAGGAGAAUAGGGCACCAGGCAGAAUCCAU